AUGGUCCCUUUGUUUGAUGAUGAGAUCUGGGAGGUCAUUAACUCUGCCAACCCGAAUGCAGCCUCUGGCCCUAAUGUGUAUUCUAUUCCCUUCUUUAAGAAGUUCUGGCCUCAGCUGCCCCGGGUGGUCUGUCAAAUCAUUCAAGGUUUCUGUCUGGGGAUAGUGGACAUCUCCCGCCUUAAGUAUGCUGUCAUUACUCUUAUCCCUAAAGUGAAAGGAGCCGAGCUAAUCUCCCAGUUUAGACCUAUUGCCCUUAUUAACAAUUUUGCUAAAUUUCCUGCAAAGGGUUUUGCCACUCGUCUCACUCCUAUAGCCCACAGAACUAUUAGCCCUUUCCAGACCGCCUUCAUCAAAGGUCAUUUUAUCCUCGAUGAGAUGCUCUGCCUUCAUGAGAUCAUGCAUGAUUUCAGGAUUCAUAAAUCUAAAGCAGUGAUUCUUAAGUUGGAUUUUGAGAAAGCUUACGACUCGGUCAGUUGGCCUUUCUUGAGAAAGGUGCUCCUGGCCAAAGGCUUCGAUGGGGCCUAUGUUCAUAGCAUCAUACAAUUGGUCUUGGGGGGCCACUGUCGGUGUCAAAACCGGCGGAUCUCGGGUAGGGGGUCCCGAACUGUGCAUCUAAGGCGGAUGGUAACAGGAGGCGAGGGACACAAUGUUUACCCAGGUUCGGGCCCUCUCGAUGGAGGUAAUACCCUACUUCCUGCUUGA
rnacentral:rRNA from 1 species